rnacentral:rRNA from 1 species
UACGUAGGGCGCAAGCGUUGUCCGGAAUUAUUGGGCGUAAAGAGCUCGUAGGCGGUCUGUUGCGUCGGCUGUGAAAACCCGGGGCUCAACCCCGGGCCUGCAGCCGAUACGGGCAGACUAGAGUUCGGCAGGGGAGACUGGAAUUCCUGGUGUAGCGGUGAAAUGCGCAGAUAUCAGGAGGAACACCGGUGGCGAAGGCGGCAUCCUGGACCGGCAUUGACGCCUGGAGGCGACGAAAGCCAGGGGAGCAAACGGG